rnacentral:lncRNA from 1 species
CCACCAUGGUGGGUGGGUGCGUGGGGGGCAAGGGAGCUUGCUUGAAAAGACACGAGACAUUAGGGAAACUUAAUGCCAAAGCAGCUAAGGAGCCCAUCCCCUUUUGCUUGAUUCUUGAACCUUCCCUAAGCGAAGUGCCACUGCGGUCGGACAGAGAGAGCUCUUUCAGAUCAGAUAACAAGUUACAGAUUCCCAAAGUCUGCCCUCCAAUGAAGAUCAUAAGUAACUGGAAGAACAGGGAUGCGCCUUAUAACUUAGAAGGAGACCAUAUCUUACCGUCCGUAUUCACCUAAUCCGGUUCUCAG